GGCAUGAUGGGUAUGGAUUAAAAUGUCAGGAGGAUUCUGCUCGGCAAUGCGUGCGUGUGUGUUCGUACUGUAAGGAUAAUUUUCCAUUGAAGUACGCUCACGCUGCAAUAAUUUCAACAUCUGGAAGAAGCAAGGUGUACUUUUAAGGUUACAUGUAAUUGUUGAUGUGCAACUCCAUUAAAGGCAAAGCUCACGCAGCUUAAAGGACACGUGAACGGCGUUAGGGAACACUGGGAUGCACUUGGUCUGCAACCACGUUUAGUGCAUCCUGAUGCCAUCUCUGUCCAAUGCACACACACACGGCUGUCCACAUGACGCAACAGAAAACAUGAUUCAUCAGUAGGCGCUUUCUCCGGUGGACAGGGGUCAGCCUGGGUGCUCUGACCGGUCUGCAGCUACACAGCCUCGUACACUGUGAGCCGUGAUGUACUGUGUGUUCUGACCCCUGACUAUCAGAGCCAACAUGAACACUUUCAGCAAUUUGUGCUUCAGCAGCUCCUCUGUGGGAGUCAAUAAGUCAUCUAUGAGCCUGAUGUUGGUUCACCAGUUGGCCUUCUUUGGACCAAUUUUGGUAUAAAUUAACCACUGCAAACCAGGACUAACCCCAGAAGACCUGCUGUUUUGGAGAUGCUCUAGGCUUUUUGCCUAUUUUUCCUGCUUCUAACACAUCAACUACAAGAACUGAAUGUUCGUUUGCAGUGUAAUAUAUUCCAACCCUUAACA